rnacentral:rRNA from 1 species
AUGAACGCUGGCGGCGUGCCUAAUACAUGCAAGUCGCGCGAACAGACGAGGAGCUUGCUCCUAUGACGUUAGCGGCGGACGGGUGAGUAACACGUGGAUAACCUACCUAUAAGACUGGGAUAACUUCGGGAAACCGGAGCUAAUACCGGAUAAUAUAUUGAACCGCAUGGUUCAAUAGUGAAAGACGGUUUUGCUGUCACUUAUAGAUGGAUCCGCGCCGCAUUAGCUAGUUGGUAAGGUAACGGCUUACCAAGGCAACGAUGCGUAGCCGACCUGAGAGGGUGAUCGGCCACACUGGAACUGAGACACGGUCCAGACUCCUACGGGAGGCAGCAGUAGGGAAUCUUCCGCAAUGGGCGAAAGCCUGACGGAGCAACGCCGCGUGAGUGAUGAAGGUCUUCGGAUCGUAAAACUCUGUUAUUAGGGAAGAACAAAUGUGUAAGUAACUAUGCACGUCUUGACGGUACCUAAUCAGAAAGCCACGGCUAACUACGUG